CAGUGAGACGGUGGGGGAUAAGCUUCAUCGUCGAGAGGGAAACAACCCAGACUACCAACUAAGGUCCCCAAGCGUGUGCUAAGUGGGAAAGGAUGUGGAGUUGC
rnacentral:rRNA from 1 species